rnacentral:rRNA from 1 species
UACGUAGGUGGCAAGCGUUGUCCGGAAUUAUUGGGCGUAAAGCGCGCGCAGGUGGUUUCUUAAGUCUGAUGUGAAAGCCCACGGCUCAACCGUGGAGGGUCAUUGGAAACUGGGGAACUUGAGUGCAGAAGAGGAAAGUGGAAUUCCAAGUCGUAGCGGUGAAAUGACGGUAGAGAUUUGGAGGAAUCACCAGUGGCGAAGGCG